AGAGUUUGAUCAUGGCUCAGAACAAACGCUGGCGGCGUGUCUUAAGCAUGCAAGUCGAGCGGCAAGGCGGGGCGACCCGCCCUAGAGCGGCGGACUGGUGAGUAACGCGUGGGUAAUCUACCUUGGGCAUGGGGAUAGCCAUUAGAAAUAGUGGGUAAUACCGAAUACGCUCGCGGGGGGAAGGGUCCUGUGAGGAAAGGGUGCUACGGCACCGGCCUGAGAUGAGCUCGCGUCCCAUUAGCUAGUUGGUGAGGUAAGGGCCCACCAAGGCGAUGAUGGGUAGCCGGCCUGAGAGGGUGUACGGCCACACUGGGACUGAGAUACGACCCAGACUCCUACGGGAGGCAGCAGCUAAGAAUAUUCCGCAAUGGACGAAAGUCUGACGGAGCGACGCCGCGUGGAUGAAGAAGGCCGAAAGGUUGUAAAGUUCUUUUGCGAGGGAAGAAUAACCGCAGGAGGGAAUGCCUGUGGGAUGACAUGAACUUGCGAAUAAGCCCCGGCCAACUACGUGCCAGCAGCCGCGGUAACACGUAGGGGGCGAGCGUUGUUCGGAAUUACUGGGCGUAAAGGGCAUGUAGGCGGUCUGGUAAGCCUGGCGUGAAAGACCACAGCUUAACUGUGGGGUUGCGUUGGGAACUGCUGGGCUUGAGUGACGGAGAGGGAGCUGGAAUUCCUGGUGUAGGGGUGAAAUCUGUAGAUAUCAGGAAGAACACCGAUGGCGAAGGCAAGCUCCUGGCCGAUGACUGACGCUGAGGUGCGAAAGUGUGGGGAUCAAACAGGAUUAGAUACCCUGGUAGUCCACACGGUAAACGAUGUGCACUAGGUGCUGGGGCGGUAGCCUCGGUGCCGGAGCGAACGUGGUAAGUGCACCGCCUGGGGAGUAUGCUCGCAAGGGUGAAACUCAAAGGAAUUGACGG
rnacentral:rRNA from 1 species